GGGGUCAUAGCUCAGCUGGGAGAGCGAUACGCUGGCAGCGUAUAGGUCAGGGGUUCGAUCCCCCUUGACUCCACCA
rnacentral:tRNA from 1 species